AUCUAACUCUGGCGGCAGGCCUAACACAUGCAAGUCGAACGAACCUUUCGGGGUUAGUGGCGGACGGGUGAGUAACACGUGGGAACGUGCCUUUAGGUUCGGAAUAACUCAGGGAAACUUGUGCUAAUACCGAAUGUGCCCUUCGGGGGAAAGAUUUAUCGCCUUUAGAGCGGCCCGCGUCUGAUUAGCUAGUUGGUUGAGGUAAUGGCUCACCAAGGCGACGAUCAGUAGCUGGUCUGAGAGGAUGAUCAGCCACAUUGGGACUGAGACACGGCCCAAACUCCUACGGGAGGCAGCAGUGGGGAAUCUUGCGCAAUGGGCGAAAGCCUGACGCAGCCAUGCCGCGUGAAUGAUGAAGGUCUUAGGAUUGUAAAAUUCUUUCACCGGGGACGAUAAUGACGGUACCCGGAGAAGAAGCCCCGGCUAACUUCGUG
rnacentral:rRNA from 1 species